GUCUCAAUAACUUGGGAGGCUGAGGGAUGAGAAUUGCUUGAACUUGGGAGGCAGAGAUUGCAGUGAGCUGAGAUCGUGCCACUGCACUCCAGCCUGGGCAACAAGCGAGACUCCGUCUUAAAAAAAAAAUAAAGUGAAGAAAUCAAUAAAUAAGGACAAUAAAUGAAGUAUAACUGAACAAAAUAAUAAUCCGUGUGUUAAUUUAACUAGUAAAAUAGAGAAAUACAGCUGGCACGGGGGCUCACGCCUGUAAUCCCAGUACUUUGGGAGGCCGAGGUGGGUGGAUCACCUUUGCUUGGGAGUUCGAGACCAGCCUGACCAACACUCCAUCUCAAAAAUAAAAAAAAAAUAAAAAAAAAUAGAGAAAUACACAAAUGAGAGGUUAUAGGCAGGUGGAUCGCCUGAGGUCAGGAGUUCGAGACCAGCCCUUGCCAGCAUUGUGAAACCCUGUCUCUACUAGAAAUACAAAAAAUUAGCUGGGCGUGGUGGCAAGCGCCUGUCAUCCCAGCUACUAGGGAGGCUGAGGCGGGAGAAUCACUUGAACCUGGGAGGCGAAGGUUGCAGGUAGCCGAGAUUGCACCAUUGC
rnacentral:lncRNA from 1 species